rnacentral:rRNA from 1 species
AUACGGAGGGUGCAAGCGUUAAGCGGAAUUACUGGGCGUAAAGCGUACGUAGGCGGUUGGUUAAGUUAGAUGUGAAAGCCCCGGGCUUAACCUGGGAACUGCAUUUAAAACUGGCGAACUAGAGUUGAGUAGAGGGGAGUGGAAUUUCAGGUGUAGCGGUGAAAUGCGUAGAGAUCUGAAGGAACACCAGUGGCGAAGGCGACUCCCUGGACUCGAACGGACGCUGAGGUACGAAAGCGUGGGUAGCAAACGGGAUUAGAUACCCUAGUAGUCC